UUUAAAGACUCGGGGUGCCCUUCCUGGUGAAGGCUGAGAAAUACCCGUACCACCUGAUCUGGAUAAUGCCAGCGUAGGGAAGUCUGAUAUCUGACCG
rfam:Shimwellia blattae DSM 4481 = NBRC 105725, complete genome.